rnacentral:rRNA from 1 species
UAGUCCAGGCUGUAAACGAUGCGGGCUAGGUGUCACCGGAGCUACGAGCUCCGGUGGUGCCGGAGGGAAGCCGUUAAGCCCGCCGCCUGGGAAGUACGGCCGCAAGGCUGAAACUUAAAGGAAUUGGCGGGGGAGCACUACAACGGGUGGAGCCUGCGGUUUAAUUGGAUUCAACGCCGGGAAGCUUACCGGGGGAGACAGCGGGAUGAAGGUCGGGCUGAAGACCUUACCAGACUAGCUGAGAGGUGGUGCAUGGCCGCCGUCAGUUCGUACUGUGAAGCAUCCUGUUAAGUCAGGCAACGAGCGAGACCCGCGCCCUCAGUUGCCAGCGGGUCCCUUCGGGGACGCCGGGCACACUGAGGGGACUGCCGGCGCUAAGCCGGAGGAAGGUGCGGGCAACGGCAGGUCCGUAUGCCCCGAAUCCCCCGGGCUACACGCGGGCUACAAUGGCCGGGACAAUGGGUACCGACCCCGAAAGGGGUGGGUAAUCUCCUAAACCCGGUCUAACCUGGGAUCGAGGGCUGCAACUCGCCCUCGUGAACCUGGAAUCCGUAGUAAUCGCGUCUCAAAAUG